AAUUUUUACAAUGAAGAGUUUGAUCCUGGCUCAGGAUGAACGCUAGCGGCAGGCUUAACACAUGCAAGUCGAGGGG
rnacentral:rRNA from 1 species